UUGUGACAGUGGCGACCCACGUUCUCUAUGGACAGCCGAGGCCACAGGACCCACUGGGAACCCGCAGUUUCUCAGAGGGGAAAGGGUAACGCACUCCUGGGCUACCCCCACAUCAUUCAUUCUCAGGUCGCACUCCUGCUUUGAUUCACCAGUCUGUUGAUCCCUCAGGAUACUGCCCACCUGGCUGAGCUCAGGGCCUGAGAGUCUGAAGAUGCAGAAAUAAGAGUGAAGAAAUAUCUGAAGACUUUCUCCAGUGAUGGUGGCUUAGACCAGCUGUGCUCAGCAGGCCCUCAGAAAGGUUGGAGGAACCCAGUCAUGGCAUAUCAUGAUGGCAAGACACAGACUGAAGGCGGGGGUUUAAAUGAGUCCACCAGACCCAAGAUAAAUGAUUAAUAGGUGUUUAUCAGGGAAGCACUUACACAGA